GGGCAGCUCAGAGCUCAGGCACAUGGAGAUGGGGUCCCAGGCUCAGAUGCUCUUUGUCCUGUUGUUCUGGAUCCCAGAUGCCCGAGGGGCCAUUGUGGUGACCCAGUCUCCAGCCUCCCUGGCUGCGUCUCCAGGAGAGGGAGUCACCAUGUCCUGCAGGACCAGUCAGAGCAUCGGCACCAACCUACACUGGUACCAACAGAAACCAGGCCAGACCCCUCGGCUCCUCAUUAGUUUUGCAACCACCCUGCAGUCUGGGAUCCCUGCCCGGUUCAGUGGCAGUGGCUCUGGGACAGAUUUCUCCCUCACAAUCAGCAAAGUGGAGGCUGAGGAUGCUGCUGUCUAUUACUGUCAAUAUGGCUAUAACUAUGUUCCCACAGUGAUACAGCCCCGAACAAAAACCUGCCAAGCAGCUGCUGAAGAAGAUAUCAGUGUCUCAGGGGUGUUUCUUUCCCUUCAGCUGGGAUGGGGGCAGCUUGUCUGGGCUGCCUCAGAAUAA